UCCCGUAGUGUAGCGGUUAUCACGUCGCCCUGUCACGGCGAAGAUCGCGGGUUCGAUUCCCGUCGGGACCG
rnacentral:tRNA from 3 species